UUAUUGCAUAAAAUUAUAGGUGUGGAAAUAACAUAAAAACUAUUUCAAACUAAAUAUUAAAAAAUAAAAUAGGAAAGAAAAUCUGAUAUCAUAGAGGUGAAGAGUCACAAAGAUAUCUCCGAAAUUAAGAGAGAAGAAGAUAAUUUACAUUAUAUUAUAUGUUUUUAUUUUUGGUAUAUAUUUUUUUCAUUAACAUCACUUUAGAGUAGAUCCAUAAUAACAAGGCCAGUGAAAUUAUAAAAAAAAUAAGAAAACUAAAGUAUUACGUCUCAACAAGACAAUUAAAUAACAACUCAUGAAAUAUUCAAGAAUGUGUUUUGUACUCUUUUGGGUUUGAUACUCAAAAACAUACACAGAAGCCAUAAUAACACUUUGGUUUUUUACCACGAUUGCACAUAUUUUUGCGACAAUCAGCAACGGUAACACAUUCAUUACCCCACGCUAUAAUGAAAAAAGAAAAAGAAAAGGUUAUUAAAAUAUGAAAAAGUAUUAUCUAUAGAAUAAAGAGGAAAAAGGAUAAAAAUUACUUACCAUUAACACUCGAGAUAACAAGAAGAAAAGAAAGAAAGAUUAACAUAAUAUAAACAAAGUUAAUUAAUUUUGCCAUACUUUCCACCCUCUGCUUUUAUCGAAUAGGAUAUGUUUUAUCAAAUUUGGAUUUAUAAAUCUAAUAUUCUUCUUACAGCAAUUUAAUAAUUUUUAUUAUUAAUAGAUUUUAUUAUACAUAUAACGUAUCGAGUUCUUAAGGAACUUUUUAAAAUUUUAAUUAAUAUGAAAUGUCUCUUAAGUAUAUUAAUGUGUUGUGUUUGUCCCUAUUUUGAUUAUGGAGGUCAAAUUAAAAAUUUACCGGUCAUAAUAAUUAAUUUUUUUUUCAACAAAUUUUGAAUAUUUGAUAACCUUUCGAGAGAAAAUGACCAAACUAUAAUAACAUUGUAAAUAACUAAUAAAUUUCUCUAAGGUAUAUCAAUGUAUUUUAUUUCUCCUUUCAGAAUACCUAGUGUGGUCAUAUAAAAAAACUUAACAAUAAUAAAAAAAUUAUUUUUUUAUUUCAAAUUUUGAUUCUUUAAUAACCUUUAUGGUAAAUAAAAUGAAAUUCACAAAACAAAGAUAAUAUUAUUAAUAAUAUUUAAAUGUGUCUAAGUUCAUCAAUGUGUUGUGCUUCCAUUAGCACACUUAAGUCAUAUUAAAAAGAUACCAACCCAAAGAAUUCAUUUUUAUGUUGUGAUAAUGUUCAUACUUUACUUGAUUGACAAGGUUUGUUUGUUUGUUUUUUUGUUCAUGAAUUCUUUGAUUGAAUGUGUGUAUAUGAUAUGUGUUAUGUGUUUAUAAUGCAAUCAGGUUAGACUUGGGUUUAUUAUAUGACUAUUAUAAAUACUUUGAGACGCCAAGGUCACCAAGAAUUUGUAUGUCUCUUUCACUACAAAGUAUUCUCUUUCAUUUUAUUUCUCUCUCUUUUUAUUUUACUUAUUCUCAAAUUUCAUUGAAUGUAACUAAAGUUAUGUGAUGCAAGCUCACUAAAUAUAGGAUUGGAAACGAAAAAUAUUGUUUCUAUCUGAUAAUGUUCUUUAUAACAUGUUCUAUUAAUUUGAUAAGUAUAGAUAGUAUAGGUAUCAUCUAGAUAGAUAAUUUACUUUGAUAAGUAUAGAUAGUAUAUGUAUCAUCUAGAUAGAUAAUUUACUGAAGAUUGUAGGUUACUUUUUACUAAGAAUUACUAAAGAAUUCGUAUAAGUGAUUAUAGCGGUAAAUUCAUGAUCAUCAAGCUAUUGGCAAAUUAGAGAUCAAAUAAUAAGAGUCGCCACCACGCUUUUAUUGUUUUCAAGGAAAAAUGGAAAAAGUACGAACAAAACCCAAAUAGUAAGAAGUUUUCAAAUAAAAACUAAUAAAUGUCAGAGAUCACAGAUAAGGGGGUUGGUUACACAGAGGAAAGGUGUUAGCACCCAAAGUGUGCUAGGUACUCAUAGGGAGCCCUUUUUGUGUGCAUAUGUAUUUGACAUAAAGUGAUGUUUACAAACAAAUAGAAUGAGGGGAUGAGAAAAGAAUUCAUUGAUUAUAUUUUUGUGUUUGACAAGACCUUCAGUCUUGUGCCUAUGUACCAACAUAAAGAUGAGGGAUCAAAACCUCGUAGUUCAUGCUAUAAAUCUCAAAAUUAGUGUGUUGGUUUUAACAAAAUUUAAGUUUGAAAGGCACAAAGGCCUACAAUGAUUUGAAUGAGUUAGUUCCUUUUGCCUUUUUUGAAAGUUUAAGUUAAGUAUAGUUAAGUUGAUUUACAAGUUUGAUUUAAGAAAAUAAGUUUGAAAAUGCAAUGGCAUAAGGCCAAAGUUUCUAUCUUUUUUGCAAAAGUGGUCAAAGUUUAGAACAAAAAUAGUUCACACAAAGAAGAUUUUUGUGAAAUGGAGGGAGAAAUUUUAAAAUUAAAGAAAUGGGGAGAAGAUGAAGAGACUACCCUAUGCAUAAAAUUAAAGUUUAAAGUUGAAAAGAUCUAACCAAAUGGGUAGCCAAUCCAAUAGACAAGUAUGUCAAUAGAAACCCAGAAUUCCCUUGGACUUUUAGAAUCAAGCAACACACAAAUGCACAAUUAUAUUAUCUUGAAGAGCAAGGCAUCAAAUAAAGAUGGCCUCAUCCAAUCUUAUCCACUUCAUGAUCUUCUUCAAAAUAGCCCAUGCAACAGAUGAAUUGCACAAGUCACAGGUUCAACAUAACAGCUUAAUAAUGAUCAAUGUUGCAGAUGAACUGGAGAGAUCUUCAAAGAUGUAUCAAAUGAAUUCAAAUUGCAAGCACUUGGUUCUUCACAGAUUGGCAUUUGCCAAGUCCAUUAGCAAAGGAAUGUUGCCUAAGUUCUAAGUCCAAUUGCUCAAGAUCAAACCAACAGUCCACUCAAAUUUUUUUUACGAUUCUUGUUUUUAUUAUGUACAUUAAAUGGUCAAGGACCAUACAAACAAAUAAAGCAACACAAACAAAAUAAUAUCACACAAUAUGGUCCAAAUGGACAAAGUGAAAAUUACAUUAACAAAAAUAAUUAGAAUGAUAUGUAUAAUGGCAAAUGAUAUAAAGUGCUAAAAGUAAAUUGCAUUAAAGUAAAAGUUAAUAGUUA
rnacentral:lncRNA from 1 species